GACGAACGCUGGCGGCGUGCUUAACACAUGCAAGUCGAACGGAAAGGCCCUGCUUGCAGGGUACUCGAGUGGCGAACGGGUGAGUAACACGUGGGUGAUCUGCCCUGCACUUCGGGAUAAGCCUGGGAAACUGGGUCUAAUACCGGAUAGGAGCCAUUUUGAGUGUGAUGGUUGGAAAGUUUUUUUCGGUGUAGGAUGAGCUCGCGGCCUAUCAGCUUGUUGGUGGGGGAAUGGCCUACCAAGGCGGCGACGGGUAGCCGGCCUGAGAGGGUGGACGGCCACAUUGGGUCUGAGAUACGGCCCAGACUCCUACGGGAGGCAGCAGUGGGGAAUAUUGCACAAUGGGCGCAAGCCUGAUGCAGCGACGCCGCGUGGGUGAUGACGGCCUUCGGGUUGUAAACUCCUUUCGCUAGGGACGAAGCUUUUUGUGACGGUACCUAGAUAAGAAGCACCGGCUAACUACGUG
rnacentral:rRNA from 1 species